rnacentral:rRNA from 1 species
GACAGAGGGUGCAAACGUUGUUCGGAAUUACUGGGCGUAAAGCGUGCGCAGGCGGCUUCGCAAGUCAGACGUGAAAUCCCCGGGCUUAACCUGGGAAUGGCGUUUGAAAUUACGGAGCUGGAGUGUGGCAGAGGGAGGUAGAAUUCCACGUGUAGCGGUGAAAUGCGUAGAUAUGUGGAGGAAUACCGAUGGCGAAGGCAGCCUCCUGGGCCAACACUGACGCUCAUGCACGAAAGCGUGGGGAGCAAACAGG